CUUCUGCAUCGAAAGGAAACUUUAAUUCAACAUCGAGGUGACAAACCUUAUCUUUGAUAUCAUCUCUUCAAUAAGAUUAUCCUGUUAUCCCUAAAGUAGCUUUUAUUUAAUAAUCGUUAAAUAUUUUUUUUUUACUUUAACGGGUCAUUCAUCCAUUUUAUGACUGUUAAAAUUAUUUUUUAUACAGUAAUUUUUUUAUAUUCUUUUUUUUUAAAAUAUCGGGGCCCAAACUAAACUACCUUACUCUAUAUAUCUUUACAUACUAUGGAAUUAUAGAAUUAUAGUUAAGCUUUAUAGGGUCUUCUCGUCUUACAAUUUUAAAUAGUAUCUUGACUAUUAUUCAAAUUUUAUUGGAUUUUUUUUUAAGACAGUGAAAUUCUCGUUUAACCAUUCAUACUAUCCGCUAAUUAAGCGGCUCUUUAUUGUGCUACAUUAUCACAGUCAGGAUACUGCGGCCGUUGAAUUUUUUCAAAGAAGGUUUAUUUUCUUAGUAAUAUAAUCACUGGGCAGGUUUCACCUUAAA
rnacentral:rRNA from 1 species